rnacentral:miRNA from 14 species
GCCAUAUCGGAGGAAGUGUGUCGCUGGGGAUGGGCUUUGAGGUUUCAGAAGCCCAAGUCAGGCCCAGUGUCUCUCUCUCUUCCUGUUGCCUGCUGAUCC